AACGUAGGACACAAGCGUUAUCCGGAAUUACUGGGCGUAAAGGGAGUGCAGGCGGUUGGGUAAGUUAGGCGUGAAAGACUUCGGCUAAACCGGGGGAGGUCGUCUGAUACUGCGUAACUAGAGUGUGGUAGAGGCGUGUAGAAUUCCGGGUGUAGUGGUGAAAUGCGCAGAUAUCAGGAGGAACACCGGUGGCGAAGGCGGAUCUCUGGGCCUUACCUGACGCUCAGGUGCGAAAGCUAGGGGAGCGAACAGG
rnacentral:rRNA from 1 species